rnacentral:rRNA from 1 species
AGAGUUUGAUCAUGGCUCAGGAUGAACGCUGGCGGUAUGCGUAACACAUGCAAGUCGAACGAAGUUUUUCGGAACUUAGUGGCGGACGGGUGAGUAACGCGUGAGAAUCUGCCUUAAGGAUUGGGACAACAGUGGGAAACCGCUGCUAAUACCAAAUAUGCCUUUUAGUGAAACGGGUAAAACCGCCUUAAGAUGAGCUCGCGUCUGAUUAGCUAGUUGGUGUGGUAAGAGCGCACCAAGGCAACGAUCAGUAGCUGGUCUGAGAGGACGACCAGCCACACUGGGACUGAGACACGGCCCAGACUCCUACGGGAGGCAGCAGUGAGGAAUUUUCCGCAAUGGGCGAAAGCCUGACGGAGCAAUACCGCGUGAGGGAGGAAGGUUCUUGGAUUGUAAACCUCUUUUCUCAGAGAAGAAUAAUGACGGUAUCUGAGGAAUAAGCAUCGGCUAACUCCGUGCCAGCAGCCGCGGUAAUACGGAGGAUGCAAGCGUUAUCCGGAAUGAUUGGGCGUAAAGGGUCUGUAGGUGGUUGUUCAAGUCUGCUGUUAAAGCGUCUGGCUUAACCAGAUAAAGGCGGUGGAAACUGAACGACUAGAGUGCGGUAGGGGUAGAGGGAAUUCCCAGUGUAGCGGUGAAAUGCGUAGAUCUUGGGAAGAACACCUGUGGCGAAAGCGCUCUACUGGACCGCGACUGACACUGAUGGACGAAAGCUAGGGGAGCGAAUGGGAUUAGAUACCCCAGUAGUCC